UACGUAGGGCGCAAGCGUUGUCCGGAAUUAUUGGGCGUAAAGAGCUCGUAGGCGGCUUGUCACGUCGGUUGUGAAAGCCCGGGGCUUAACCCCGGGUCUGCAGUCGAUACGGGCAGGCUAGAGUGUGGUAGGGGAGAUCGGAAUUCCUGGUGUAGCGGUGAAAUGCGUAGAUAUCAGGAGGAACACCGGUGGCGAAGGCGGCUAUCUGGACAGAGUCUGACGCUGAUGCGCGAAAGCUAGGGGAGCAAACAGG
rnacentral:rRNA from 1 species